rnacentral:rRNA from 1 species
GUUGAACGCUGGCGGAAUGCUUUACACAUGCAAGUCGAGCGGCAGCACGGGGUUAACCCUGGUGGCGAGCGGCGAACGGGUGAGUAAUACAUCGGAACCUUCCCAGUCGUGGGGGAUAACACUUCGAAAAAAGUUCCAAUACCCCAUACGUCUUGUGGUAGAACGUGGUGGAUCUCUAAACCUCGCGCGCUUGGUGUGACCGCUGUCCGUUUAGCUAGUUGGUGGGGUAAAGGACUACCCAGCAAACGAUCUGUAGCUGGUCUGAGAGGAUGAUCAGCCACACUGGGAGUGAGACACGGCACAGGCGCAUACGGGAGGGAGCAGUGGGGAAUCGUGGAGAAGGGGGGGAAAACUGAGCAAGCCAGUCCGAGAGAGUGAAGAAGGAAUUCGGGUUGUAAAGCGAUGUCGGCAGGAACGAAAAGGCGAGUUCUAAGAGAGGUUGCUAAUGACGGUACCAGAAGAAGAAGCACCGGCUAAAUACGUG